GGAUGUGAGGGCAAUCUGACUGUCUAGGCAGGUGUCCCUCCCGAAGCUGCGCGCUCGGUCAAAGAGAACGGUCUUCCCCGAACAGAGAUGGACCGGUCUUCGGUGGAGGGUAAACGAGUAGCUGCACACCCCUUGCUAGAAACUUGAAAAAAGCUCUCAAGAAAAGAAAAAGCCCACAGCACAUCCCCCUGUGCCAGAGCUUGUAUGCCUGGCUCUCAUG
rnacentral:snRNA from 1 species